AGAGUUUGAUCCUGGCUCAGAUUGAACGCUGGCGGCAUGCUUUACACAUGCAAGUCGAACGGCAGCACAGGGAGCUUGCUCCCGGGUGGCGAGUGGCGCACGGGUGAGUAAUACAUCGGAACGUGUCCUGUUGUGGGGGAUAACUGCUCGAAAGGGUGGCUAAUACCGCAUGAGACCUGAGGGUGAAAGCGGGGGAUCGCAAGACCUCGCGCAAUUGGAGCGGCCGAUGCCCGAUUAGCUAGUUGGUGAGGUAAAGGCUCACCAAGGCGACGAUCGGUAGCUGGUCUGAGAGGACGACCAGCCACGACUGGGGACUGAGACCACGGCCCAGACCUCCUACGGGAGGCA
rnacentral:rRNA from 1 species